CUCAAUGGUUGCUGGGCGGGGCCGUGACGUCCUUGGCGUGGGUGCAGGGGAGGCCGCGGCGGGGAAAAUGGCGGACGGGAAGGCGGGAGAGGAAAAGCCUGAGAAACCGCAGCGAGCUGGAGCCGCCGGAGGACCUGAAGAAGAAGCAGAAAAACCUGUGAAAACUAAGACUGUUUCUUCCAGUAAUGGAGGGGAAAAUUCCAGUCGCAGCGCUGAGAAGCGAUCAGCUGAAGAAGAAGCUGCAGACCUCCCAACAAAGCCUACAAAGAUCUCCAAGUUUGGAUUUGCCAUAGGUAGUCAGACGACAAAGAAAGCCUCAGCCAUAUCCAUCAAACUUGGCUCAAGUAAGCCUAAAGAAACCGUUCCAACUCUUGCUCCAAAAACUCUUUCAGUAGCAGCAGCUUUUAAUGAAGAUGAAGAUGUAGAAGAACACAUGCAUCUGAAAUCUUCAUCUGGAGACUUCCCUGGCAGUCCAGUGGUUAAGACUCUGCACUUCCACUGCAGGGGGCACCGGUUUGAUCCCUGGUCAGAAAACUAAGAUCCUGUAUGCCACGCAGCGUGGCCAGAGGCAAAAAAAGGAAAUAAAAUCUUCAUCUGGUUCUUCCUUUUUCUGCAGAACAUAGUUAAUUAACCUUCAGUAUGUAUCUAAGCCUGAAAUAUAUUGGACAGAGAGUGUGUUCACCUAAUUAAUUUUGAAAUUUAAAAAUACUUUUUCAGUUGUAUAUCUUUAGUCUCUUUUAAUUGGGACAAUUCCUGGGUCUUUCUGUGUAUUUCAUGGAAUGAACAUUUUUGAAGAGUUCAGGCCAGUUAAUUUGUAGAAUGUUCCUUCGUUUGAAUUUGUCCGAUGUUCCCUUAUGAUUAGAUUCACAUUCCUUUUGGCAGGCACACCACAGAAGUGAUGCCAAGUUCUCAGUGCAUCAUAUCAGGAGCACAUGUUGUCAGUAGAUCCCUUUACUGGCAGUGUUAACUUUGAUCAUUUGGUUAAAGUGAUGUCUGCCAGAUUUCUCUACUGUCAAAUUACUGUUUUACCUUUUAUAAUUAAAAUUUAUUUUGUGGGGAUAUGUUUUAAGAAUAUGCGAAAAUACAUAAUUUCUUAAGUGUUCACUCAUGAGUGUUAACAUUCAUUUAUGAUUCUUACCAGAAUCAAUUAUGAUGUUUGCCAAGUGGUGAUUUUUUUCAUUCUUUCAUCCCCUCUAUGCUUAUUAAUUUUCUCUUACUAUAAGGAAGAGCUUUUGUAAGUGUAGGCUCUAUUCAACAGGUUAUAAUGCUCAAAUGGUCCCAGAUUUGACCAGUAGAAAUCCGUUUAAGCUGGAUCUUGCAGAUGACUGUGUAAAAGAUAAUAUUUAGCUCAGCAGUAACAUUUAUACAUAAAAACAUCGAAAAGACAAUUGUCAUGUAUCUUUUCACCAGCUGUAACUGUGGAAAAGUAGUAGGGAAUGAGCUUUCAAGAUGUCUUUACAGUAAAGGAGACAUUUUUGAGAAGUAGUACAGUAAAAUGGUUAAGAGUCUUUGCUUUGGCAUCUGUUUUGUGACUUGGGACUAGUUAAUCUUGUUUACCUCACCUACAGAAUGUGAAUGAUGAUAUUCAUACCCACCUUGAUGGAUUGUUAGGGUUUUCAAAGAUAGUACAUAUUAAAGCAUUUAACACAAUAUGUAGCUUAUAGUAAACAAAUAGUUUUAGUUCUAGAAUAUCAAGUUUUUUGGUUGUUUUUUGGCCACGCUGUACAGCAUGCAGAAUCUUAGUUCCCUGACCAGGAUUUGAACCUGCGCCCCCUGUAAUGGAAGCAUGGAGUUUUAACCACUGGACUGCCAGGGAAGUCCCUAGAACAUCAAGUUUUUACCAUUUUUUUUUUUUUCUUUAAGGAGGAUCGGCACAUUGGAAACAUGAGUUUUGUUUUAUUUUUUAAUGUAGUUAAGAUAAAUGAUUUUCUCCUUUUACCAAAAUUUACAGACUUAGAUAUAAAACUUAGCAUUUUAGUAAUCAAGUGAUUUUAAUAUAGUUGACCCUUGACCAGCAUAGGUUUGAACUGCACGGGCCUACUUAUGUGCAGGUUUUUUUCAGUAAACAUGUGCUACAGUACUACACUAUCCCAAGGUUGGUUGAAUCCUUAGAUGUGGAACUGUGGAUAUGGUGGAUCAACUAUAAAGUUUUACACGGGUUUUUGGCUGUGGAGGUGUGGGCAAGGGGCAGCGCCCCAACCCCCCUUCAUUGUUCAAGGGUCAGCUGUAUCUAUAUGGAGUCAUCUCUGUUUCUAUCUUACUUCUUUCUCCAGAGUGAACCAGAGGAAAUGCCUCCGGAAGCAAAGAUGAGGAUGAAGAAUAUUGGAAGGGAUACACCAACAUCAGCAGGACCAAAUUCCUUCAAUAAAGGAAAGCAUGGGUUUUCUGAUAACCAGAAGCUAUGGGAGCGAAAUAUAAAAU